rnacentral:rRNA from 1 species
AUGCAGCGAGCGCUUACCUUCGGGUAGGAGCGGCGGACGGGUUAGUAACGCGUGGGAACAUACCCUUUUCUACGGAAUAGCCUCGGGAAACUGAGAGUAAUACCGUAUACGCCCUUCGGGGGAAAGAUUUAUCGGAGAAGGAUUGGCCCGCGUUUGAUUAGAUAGUUGGUGGGGUAAUGGCCUACCAAGUCUACGAUCAAUAGCUGGUUUGAGAGGAUGAUCAGCAACACUGGGACUGAGACACGGCCCAG